rnacentral:rRNA from 1 species
CUGAAGAGUUUGAUCAUGGCUCAGAUUGAACGUUGGCGGCACGCCUUAUACAUGCAAGUCGAACGAGAAAGCACUUCGGUGUGAGUACAGUGGCGGACGGGUGAGUAACGCGUAGGAAUCUACCUAGUAGUGGGGGACAACAAUCGGAAACGGUUGCUAAUACCGCAUAAGCCCUACGGGGGAA